GCUUUAUGUCCCUGUGGCAAACCCCAAUACUGCCAUGGAUAUAUGCUAAUGAUCUCAAAAUCUGGUAAGUAUACAGUUUCACAUAUAUUAUUGGCAUGCGCUGGUUCAUCUUAUUGUAAUGCUUGAUCACACGAUGAACAGUCUCAGGAACAUAUUCAAGUACCAAGUUAAGAUACAGCUCAUCCUUCUCCGUCGUUGAAAAGAAGCAAUGCUUGAGAGAGACGACAUUUGGAUGGUCCAGUAGACGCAUUGUUUGUAACUCACGGUUCUUGUACCUUUUGUCUUGG
rnacentral:misc_RNA from 1 species